GAAGGUAGAGCUUAUUGGUAGAGCUCUGUCUGGCACACACAGGUCCUGGGUUCAAUCCCCAGUACUGCA
rnacentral:tRNA from 1 species